UGGAGCUAUUGUUACAUUAAUUGCUCUUGGCACGGUUAAUUUAAUCCAGCAUUUUGGUGAAUAUUGAUUUAUCUUCUGAGAGUAACAAUUUUUUUUAAAUUGCUUAUCUAAUUUAUUUCCAUAAAUUGAGGUUCUCUGACUCUUUUAUAUAUGAAAACCAGUAUAUCUCGCUUUAUGCAAUAUGUGUGUUUCUGGAAAAUUGUAUUUCAACCAUAUUUUGCUACAACAAGUAAUUGUAAUGUGCCGGUUCUAUAAAAUAAGAGACCCAAGUUUUGAAAAUGAAAAUAGUUGUUUAAUACAAAUAAUUUAUCUGAUUUUCUUUCAUUUUCUAGACUGCCCUCAAUUGUUCUGUUCUGCUUGAGAAAACACAGGCUGUGUUCCUCAUUGUCUUAACUGCAGCCUUGGUGUAGUUUCUCUUGCUUGUCUUAACUGUGGUGUACGUUCUAGAUACUUUGGCAUAAUAUCCUCUGGUCACAAAAAAUGACAUCUUCAGGGAGAAGACUGAAGAAAUGCCUGAAAUGACAGUAGAAAUAUUUUCUUCUGGUAUCUGGCUAAGUGAAGGAAGAGGAUCAUGAGCCAAGGAAUGCUAGCGGCCUGCGGAAGCUGGAAAAGGAAGCAGACUCUUCCUCCGAGCCUCCAGAAGGGAGCGCCCAGAUGCCAAAGCCUUGAUCUGAGCUCACGGAGACACACGUAGAUUGUUUAAGGCACCAAACCUGUGGUAAUUUGCUACAGCGGCAACACAAAAUCAGCAUGCUGUUGAUGUUAUCUUAGUUUGUCUGCUGGAGGUCAACUCUCUCCGGGUAAGCUUUCCUCUGAUACAUGGCACCAUGGAUUCCCUUACAACAGGAAGGGAUAGAAUCUUAAAUUCUAAAAAACCACUAAGUCUACCAAAAAUUCACAGAUCUGUUUCAUGGGAACAGAGUUGAACUGACCUUACAUUAUUUUGUGGGAUACAGACAGAGAUCAAAAGGGGUCCACAAUUUUCUUUUUCACUCUUCUCCCAGAACCAUCACCACACUGAAGUUGAUAGGAUGUCUGGCUUCUGAAGUACUGUCUUCCAUGGUUUCAGAAAGUAAAAAUCUCAAAAUGUUUAUUCAUUGAUGUUAGCUCCCAUCGGCAAAAGGUAACCACCAAGAAAAAUUAGCGAAGCAAAGAACAAGAAAGAUGAGAGGGAAAACGAGUAAGGGAUGGUGGGUUUACAUGGAAUGUACGGAAGCAAACUUGAUGCAAUUAGAGGACGUCAUCUGUAGGAAGGAACACAAAGCAGAUGCCCGGGUUUAUUCCACACAUGAGCUGACAUAAUUCUUUAUCUGCCUAGUCCUGAAUUUCCCCCAAGGUUUGUGAAUAGAGAGAAGAAACAAACCCUUAACAUAACCCAAGCAGCCUUACCUCACCUGAUAUGAUUUGAUUUUAGGCUAUUGUCUUGAAAUAUUUCCUCCUAUAGAAGAAUGUGU
rnacentral:lncRNA from 1 species